ACGGGGGGAGCAAGCGUUGUUCGGAUUUACUGGGCGUAAAGGGCGCGUAGGCGGUAGCACAAGUCAGUUGUGAAGUCUCCGGGCUUGACUCGGAAAGGUCAACUGAUACUGUGCGACUAGAGUGCAGAAGGGGCAACUGGAAUUCUCGGUGUAGCGGUGAAAUGCGUAGAUAUCAAGAGGAACACCUGAGGUGAAGACGGGUUGCUGGGCUGACACUGACGCUGAUGCGCGAAAGCCAGGGGAGCAAACGGGA
rnacentral:rRNA from 1 species